UGCCCAUAAGAGGGGGAGUAACAUCCGGAAACGGGUAGCUAAUACCGCAUAGUUUUCUUGGUCGCAUGAUCGGGAAGGAAAGACGGCCUUUGUGCUGUCGCUUAUGGAUGGACCCGCGGCGUAUUAGUUAGUUGGUGAGGUAACGGCCCACCAAGACGAUGAUACGUAGCCGACCUGAGAGGGUGAUCGGCCACAUUGGGACUGAGACACGGCCCAAACUCCUACGGGAGGCAGCAGUAGGGAAUCUUCCGCAAUGGACGAAAGUCUGACGGAGCAACGCCGCGUGAGUGAAGAAAAGGGUUUUCGGAUCGUAAAACUCUGUUGUCAGAGAAGAACAAGUUGGAGAGUAACUGCUCCAGCCUUGACGGUAUCUGACCAGAAAGCCACGGCUAACUACGUGCCAGCCGCUGC
rnacentral:rRNA from 1 species